AACGACUCUCGGCAACGGAUAUCUCGGCUCUCGCAUCGAUGAAGAACGUAGCGAAAUGCGAUACUUGGUGUGAAUUGCAGAAUCCCGUGAACCAUCGAGUCUUUGAACGCAAGUUGCGCCCGAAGCCAUUAGGUUGAGGGCACGUCUGCCUGGGCGUCACACA
rnacentral:rRNA from 3 species